rnacentral:rRNA from 1 species
UGGGGAAUAUUGCACAAUGGGCGCAAGCCUGAUGCAGCCAUGCCGCGUGUAUGAAGAAGGCCUUCGGGUUGUAAAGUACUUUCAGCGGGGAGGAAGGUGUUGAGGUUAAUAACCUCAGCAAUUGACGUUACCCGCAGAAGAAGCACCGGCUAACUCCGUGCCAGCAGCCGCGGUCAUAAGGAGGGUGCAAGCGUUAAUCGGAAUUACUGGGCGUAAAGCGCACGCAGGCGGUCUGUCAAGUCGGAUGUGAAAUCCCCGGGCUCAACCUGGGAACUGCAUUCGAAACUGGCAGGCUAGAGUCUUGUAGAGGGGGGUAGAAUUCCAGGUGUAGCGGUGAAAUGCGUAGAGAUCUGGAGGAAUACCGGUGGCGAAGGCGGCCCCCUGGACAAAGACUGACGCUCAGGUGCGAAAGCGUGGGGAGCAAACA